UACGGAGGGUGCAAGCGUUAUCCGGAUUUACUGGGUUUAAAGGGUGCGUAGGCGGGUCUUUAAGUCAGUGGUGAAAUCCUCCUGCUCAACGGGAGAACUGCCAUUGAUACUAUUGAUCUUGAAUUCAGUUGAGGUGGGCGGAAUGUGUCGUGUAGCGGUGAAAUGCUUAGAUAUGACACAGAACACCGAUUGCGAAGGCAGCUCGCUAAACUGACAGUGACGCUGAGGCACGAAAGCGUGGGGAUCAAACAGG
rnacentral:rRNA from 1 species